CGAGUUGUUUCUGCCUCCUAUUUUCUCUCCGAGCCUUAAGAUCCCCAUAUAUAUGCUACCCGUAAUGCAUCCUUGGAAGGCCAAUAGAACAAAAUAAGGAGGAGCCUCACUAAAUAAGGAGGCCCAAGCACUACAAGAUUGUUGUUGCAUUCCUUGAGUUCGAUCGACUCUCAUUUUCAAUAACUCUACGUUCUCCUGUUCCUGCCAUGGAGGCAUGGAGGAAGAAUGCCCUGUGCUCUGCACUCUUUGUGCUGCUCAUCGUGGCUUCAAGCGAGGUGCGGUCGGUUCGGGGCAUAGAGGCGGACGGCUGCUGGAAUAGGGGGCCCAGCUUCGCCUUCUGCGCGAACACCGCCAGGUGCAGGGAGGCCUGCCAAGCGGGCGGGCAGCUUGACGGGCGCUGCAACGCGGAGUUCCCCAUCGUUUGGCCGCGCUGCGAGUGCCUGGCUCCACACUGCACGUAGCGCUCGCCGACGCUUCUAGCUAAGUUUACUGCUAGCUCCGGCGGUGCCUGUGGCGAGUAAAUGGCCGGCUCGUUGCCGUUGCGCCCAUCUUUUCCUGUCCAUCAGCUACGGCUGCUAUUCGGAUGUUGUUGGUUUCAUUCGGAGUUAAUGCAUUUCUGGUGCCCAAAUGCUACGGGAAAA